AUAAUAAGCAGGCAUGAAAAGAAAAUAAUCAUGAACACAAGGCGUUAUGUGGAGUGAUAGGAAGCGGUGGUAGCACACCGCCACUUCCAGUGGGACUCAGGUGCCGGUAUAUGGCUGUGCUUUAGCUACUCACCAUGGCUUAGGAUAGAUGAGCUGGAUAGGAUUGACAUACCAUAAGGGUUAAAGAGAAUGCUUAUGAGUCUACUGAAGCCAG